rnacentral:rRNA from 1 species
GAUGAACGCUGGCGGCGUGCCUAAUACAUGCAAGUCGAGCGAACAGACGAGGAGCUUGCUCCUCUGACGUUAGCGGCGGACGGGUGAGUAACACGUGGAUACCCUACCUAUAAGACUGGGAUAACUUCGGGAAACCGGAGCUAAUACCGGAUGAUAUAUUGAACCGCAUGGUUCAAUAGUGAAAGACGGUUUUGCUGUCACUUAUAGAUGGAUCCGCGCUGCAUUAGCUAGUUGGUAAGGUAACGGCUUACCAAGGCAACGAUGCAUAGCCGACCUGAGAGGGUGAUAGGCCACACUGGAACUGAGACACGGUCCAGACUCCUACGGGAGGCAGCAGUAGGGAAUCUUCCGCAAUGGGCGAAAGCCUGACGGAGCAACGCCGCGUGAGUGAUGAAGGUCUUCGGAUCGUAAAACUCUGUUAUUAGGGAAGAACAAAUGUGUAAGUAACUGUGCACGUCUUGACGGUACCUAAUCAGAAAGCCACGGCUAACUACGUG